AACUGGUUGUAAGGAUAGCAGCAACAACCAAACGACUAUAUAUGUGUUGCAGAGAGAGAGAGAGAGACAGACAGACUACCAUAGAAAGAUAGGUUGGGAAGGCGACGAUUUGAGAACCAAAGCAGCUCUGCAAACAGCGGCAGAAACCACAGCUCUUGCCAUUUUACUGACAAAUUUCCAGAGAGAGAGAGAGAGCGCACGGUACGAUCUAAACUGAACCGGGUUCAAACCUCCUGGGACCGGGCGGUUUAUGAUACGGCUGCGAUUCUGCAGGCCAAAGUCCACCCAAUAAACCACGUGUCAAUACUAGAGCAGAUUGAGGCUAAAUGUUGACUUUUUAUAUCUUUCUCUUUCCAAUCCGCUUUUGACACAUCAUAUCAAAUUGAGCCCCCAUACUUACAACCUGAACCCUCUCUCCUUCCUCCUCUCUCUCUGUCUGGCGUCGAGACUCGAAACCAAAGCGUUUCCAUGUCCUUUCCGAUCGACUAACAAAAGGGUGUUCACGAAUUUACAUGGAAUUUGCACUUGAUGGUGAUGUUGAUGGCGAGGUGGUGGGAAGUUCUGCUGAGAUGGAACUUAGUAGAGCAGGUGAUGAAAAUGAAACAGGUGGUAGUUCUGUUGAAGGGGCAUUCCAACUGGGUCUGGAUGAUAAAAUAAAUCUAGAUUCUCCUCGAGGGGAUAUAAUUCCAGAAGCAGUUCCUGUAGUAUCGGUAGUGCCAGCAGAUGAGCCAUAUGUGGGUCAAGAGUUUGAAACAGAAGCAGCUGCUCAUGCAUUUUAUAAUGCAUAUGCCACACGUGUGGGAUUCAUAAUUCGUGUAAGCAAACUCUCUCGAUCAAGGCGUGAUGGAUCUGCCAUUGGUCGUGCACUUGUUUGUAAUAAAGAGGGUUAUAGAAUGCCUGACAAACGUGAAAAAGUUGUAAGGCAAAGAGCCGAGACCAGGGUUGGUUGUAGAGCAAUGAUUUUGGUGAGGAAAGUAAGUUCUGGGAAAUGGGUUGUCACAAAAUUUGUAAAGGAGCACACUCAUCCUUUGACACCUGGAAAAGGUCGAAGGGAUUGCAUUUAUGAUCAAUAUCCGAAUGAGCAUGACAAGAUUCGGGAAUUAUCUCAGCAGUUGGCCAUAGAGAAAAAACGUGCUGCGACAUAUAAAAGACAUCUCGACCUAAUAUUUGAGCACAUUGAAGAACACAAUGAGAGCCUAUCAAAAAAGAUCCAACACAUAGUAGAGAGUGUGAAGGAGAUCGAAGGCAAAGAACAGCAAGGAUACAGAUAAGGAUUGCUGCAACUUACGCACUUUUUGGUUUUGGUAAAACAUAGAAUCAAGCAAUGUCGUGGACAAUACUACAGGAUGAAUCGAUUAUAGGACGUUCGGAGGAAGUUGGAACGGGACCAUCGCAUUACACGGGAUAUCUGAUAUGAGGUCUGUUUUCUGUAGCUUCAGAAUACUGUAUUCAAUCCUCCUUUUAAAUACAACUCUUGAGAAUUUCCCUUUACUGAUGGUUUUGGUUUUAGUACUCGCUGGAGAGGGCAUUUUCCAAAAAUUUGUAACCACUUGUAACGACCUUGUUUACAAGUUUCAGUUAUUUAUGGGGAGGCGUUGGUUACUACUGAAGUGAAUCAAAUUCUUGAUCCAAUCUUUUCACUAACAAUACGGUCUAGUGGUAUUUUCUAAGUGGAGUUUUCAUAUUUUUUCUCGUAUUUUUCAGCUUACUUGGAUUACUAGUUUCAAUACAAUUUUUUGGCCAGAGUUCUAUACAUAAUUAUGCGGCUCAAAACUUUGGUGUGAUGUGAUUUGUGUUUAUUUGGGAGUGUGGAUGUGUAAACUUAAAUAUGAAUCUCAAUAGGAUUUGGAAAUCAAAUCCAUAGACUUUGUAUUACUUGUAAGGCAAGAAAGUCCAUCAUGAUUAAUAUAAGGUUUAAGGC